GCUUCUUUCCUCCCGAGUGCUUGCACUCAAUUGGAAAGAGGAGUGGCGGACGGGUGAGUAACACGUGGGUAACCUACCCAUCAGAGGGGGAUAACACUUGGAAACAGGUGCUAAUACCGCAUAACAGUUUAUGCCGCAUGGCAUAAGAGUGAAAGGCGCUUUCGGGUGUCGCUGAUGGAUGGACCCGCGGUGCAUUAGCUAGUUGGUGAGGUAACGGCUCACCAAGGCCACGAUGCAUAGCCGACCUGAGAGGGUGAUCGGCCACACUGGGACUGAGACACGGCCCAGACUCCUACGGGAGGCAGCAGUAGGGAAUCUUCGGCAAUGGACGAAAGUCUGACCGAGCAACGCCGCGUGAGUGAAGAAGGUUUUCGGAUCGUAAAACUCUGUUGUUAGAGAAGAACAAGGACGUUAGUAACUGAACGUCCCCUGACGGUAUCUAACCAGAAAGCCACGGCUAACUACGUGCCAGCAGCCGCGG
rnacentral:rRNA from 1 species